UACGUAGGGUGCAAGCGUUGUCCGGAAUUAUUGGGCGUAAAGAGCUCGUAGGCGGUCUGUCGCGUCGGCUGUGAAAUCCCGAGGCUCAACCUCGGGUCUGCAGUCGAUACGGGCAGACUAGAGUGAUGUAGGGGAGACUGGAAUUCCUGGUGUAGCGGUGAAAUGCGCAGAUAUCAGGAGGAACACCGAUGGCGAAGGCAGGUCUCUGGGCAUUAACUGACGCUGAGGAGCGAAAGCAUGGGGAGCGAACAGG
rnacentral:rRNA from 1 species